rnacentral:lncRNA from 1 species
GGGAACCCACGCCUAAAGUGCACAACCUCCUAGUUCUCAUCGUUGACGGCGUGGACUACCAGGGUCUCUAAUCCUGUUUGCUCCCCACGCUUUCGCGCCUUAGUGUCAGUAUUAGUCCAGGAAGCCGCCUUCGCCACUGGUGUUCUUUCCGAUAUCUAUGCAUUUCACCGCUACACCGGAAAUUCCACUUCCCUCUACCAUACUCGAGACAUCCAGUAUCGGAUGCAGUUCCUAGGUUAAGCCCAGGGCUUUCACAUCCGACUUAAACAUCCACCUACGCGCACUUUACGCCCAGUGAUUCCGAUUAACGCUUGCACUCUCUGUAUUACCGCGGCUGCUGGCACAGAGUUAGCCAGUGCUUCUUCUGUGGGUAACGUCAACGCCCAAGGGUAUUAGCCUUGAGACUUUCUUCCCCACUGAAAGUGCUUUACAACCCGAAGGCCUUCUUCACACACGCGGCAUUGCUGGAUCAGGGUUUCCCCCAUUGUCCAAUAUUCCCCACUGCUGCCUCCCGUAGGAGUCUGGGCCGUGUCUCAGUCCCAGUGUGGCUGAUCGUCCUCUCA